GGAAGUAAAAGUNGUAACAAGGUUUCCGUAGGUGAACCUGCGGAAGGAUCAUUAACGAACAAAAGAUUUACUUGUUUAAAUCUUUUGGGAUCAACCAAAAACCUGUAACAAAAAUAGUAGUAUUCAAUUCAAUACACUAUAUACAUUAUAAAUAUUACAAAACUUUCAACAACGGAUCUCUUGGCUCUUGCAUCGAUGAAGAACGCAGCGAAUUGCGAUAAGUAGUGUGAAUUGCAGAAUUCCGUGAAUCAUCGAAUCUUUGAACGCAUAUUGCACUCUUUGGUAUUCCGAAGAGUAUGCCUGUUUGAGGGUCAUUUGAAAAUUAAUCAAGUUUAAUCUUGGAAUAAUGGGUUUUCCGUGUUAUCAUCGUAUGGUAAUUGGUCACUCGAAAUUAAUGUCAUGUCUUGGCUUGUAACAGACGCGUUUAUUUUAAAUUUUAAAUGUUCGCAACUAAUCAAGUCUUUAUAAUGGCAUGUUUAAUUUUUCCCUUUUAAAAAGAGGAAGAAGUCGAACAACUUUUUAUAAUCGUGACCUCAAAUCAGGUAAGAGUACCCGCUGAACUUAAGCAUAUCAAUAAGCGGAGGA
rnacentral:rRNA from 1 species